rnacentral:tRNA from 1 species
GUGGCUGUGGCUCAGUGGUAGAGCACUUGCUUAGCAUGCGUGAGACACUGGGUUCGAUCCUCAGCACCACA